rnacentral:rRNA from 1 species
CCUACGGGGGGCUGCAGUGGGGAAUAUUGGACAAUGGGGGCAACACUGAUCCAGCCAUGCCGCGUGUGUGAAGAAGGCCCUCGGGUUGUAAAGCACUUUCAGUGAGGAAGAACGCCUGGUGGUUAAUACCCAUCAGGAAAGACAUCACUCACAGAAGAAGCACCGGCUAACUCCGUGCCAGCAGCCGCGGUAAUACGGAGGGUGCGAGCGUUAAUCGGAAUUACUGGGCGUAAAGCGCGCGUAGGUGGCUUGAUAAGCCGGUUGUGAAAGCCCCGGGCUCAACCUGGGAACGGCAUCCGGAACUGUCAAGCUAGAGUGCAGGAGAGGAAGGUAGAAUUCCCGGUGUAGCGGUGAAAUGCGUAGAGAUCGGGAGGAAUACCAGUGGCGAAGGCGGCCUUCUGGACUGACACUGACACUGAGGUGCGAAAGCGUGGGUAGCAAACAGGAUUAGAUACCCCUGUAGUC